GAUGAAGAACGUAGCGAAAUGCGAUAAGUAAUGUGAAUUGCAGAAUUCAGUGAAUCAUCGAAUCUUUGAACGCACCUUGCGCCCUUUGGCUAUUCCAGAGGGCAUGCCUGUUUGAGUAUCAUGAACACCUCAACUCUCAUGGUUCUGCCAUGAUGAGCUUGGACUUUGGAGGUCUUGCUGGCCCCUGUGGUCAGCUCCUCUCAAAUGGAUCAGCUUGCCAGUGUUUGGUAGCAUCACAGGUGUGAUAACUAUCUACGCUUGUGGUUUUCCACCAGGUAACCUUCAGUGAUGGAGGUUCGCUGGAGCUCAUAAACGUCUCUCCUCAGCGAGGACAGCUUCUUGAACGUUUGAUCUCAAAUCAGGUAGGGCUACCCGCUGAACUUAAGCAUAUCAAUAAGCGGAGGA
rnacentral:misc_RNA from 1 species